AUUGAACGCUGGCGGCAUGCUUUACACAUGCAAGUCGAACGGUAACAGGCCUUCGGGUGCUGACGAGUGGCGAACGGGUGAGUAAUGCAUCGGAACGUACCCAGAGGUGGGGGAUAACGCAGCGAAAGCUGUGCUAAUACCGCAUGUGAUCUGAGGAUGAAAGCGGGGGACCGAGCAGCAAUGUUUGGCCUCGCGCCUUUGGAGCGGCCGAUGUCGGAUUAGCUAGUUGGUGGGGUAGAGGCCUACCAAGGCGACGAUCCGUAGCUGGUCUGAGAGGACAACCAGCCACACUGGGACUGAGACACGGCCCAGACUCCUACGGGAGGCAGCAGUGGGGAAUUUUGGACAAUGGGCGCAAGCCUGAUCCAGCAAUGCCGCGUGCGGGAAGAAGGCCUUCGGGUUGUAAACCGCUUUUGGCAGGAACGAAACGGUGUCCGCUAAUACCGGGCGCUAAUGACGGUACCUGCAGAAUAAGCACCGGCUAACUACGUG
rnacentral:rRNA from 1 species